AGGGGUGUAACCCAGUGGUUCGGUUUUAGGUUUGCUCUCUAGAGGUCAUCAGUUCGAGUCUCAUAACUUUUA
rnacentral:tRNA from 1 species